AAGGCCCUAUCUUCCCUGUUACUUCUUGUGGGAUGGCAGAUAUGGAAUGAAAGGAAUGCUCGUGUCUUCAGGAGCAAAGCGGCGCCGGUGGCGAUUGUCAUGCGAGGCAUCAAAGAGGAAGUUUCGAUUUGGGCCAAUGCAGGUGCUAAGCAUUUGCGUAAUGUAAUACCGCGAGAGUAA
rnacentral:rRNA from 1 species